GGGCAUGUAGCUCAGUUGGUAGAGCGCGUCAUUAGCAUCUCCUCACGAGUUCUCAACUCGAAGGGGUCAGCAUACUUGACGAGGUCUUUGGUUCGAUUCCUAACCUGUCCA
rnacentral:tRNA from 1 species